rnacentral:misc_RNA from 1 species
CUUCUUAUGGUUUGCAAGUUACGUCAAUUGAUCUCAUUGACGAUAUCAUAAUGUAAUAGUUGCAUAUCACAGGAAUAUGAAGCCUAAAAAAUAUAAAAAUACAUAAUUGAUCAUGUUCCCUUUCCAUAUUCAGUUGCGAUUAAGCAUACCAUUUCGCAAGAAGCUGUAAUGAUCACAAAUUAGAUCACUUCAAUACUACAUGAUAGCCGACACCGACCUGCGAUCUGUUGAUGCUUUUUUUAUUGAAAAAAGGUGGUUACCCCGAUGGCUCGAGGAAAAGCUCCACAUUGAAUUAAAAAAAAGUUAGUUUUUAGUUGAGUUAAACUUUACGCCGCCGCGACUCGUGGCGAUGGCGCCUCCAUCAGACGACGUGCUGUGUUGCUGCGAGUACGUCAGCGCUGACGGGGAGAGGUCUCACUUGCUCGCCAGCUGUUGCAAUUGUGAGGCACUGGACCUCGUCUUUGACAGAUGCAUCCGAUGCUCACCCAUUGAGUCGAGCCUCGUGGAGCGCCUUCACUCGACAGUGGCCGACAGACUGCGGGUGCCGUGGCCCAGUGGAGCAAUCAAAGUUCCUGCUUCUGUUGCCUUCAGCGUUGCCCUGAUGCCUUGCUUUAUGUUGUUGGCAGCCAUUUCUUUGACUGCCACGCUCAUCACCUACUGUUUACUCUUACCUUGCGUCGUGUAUACCGUCCACAGACAUAUUAAGGACAUUGCUGUGUCUCGUGACCCGCAGCUCUUGAGCAAACAAACGAGACAUCGCUCUAAGUUCUACAUAUCGUUCCUUCUAAGUUCACUUUUUUGGUGCUACUUCUUCUUCAUGACUCAAGUUAUGAACCAUCUCGAAAUAAAUGCCAUAGAGAGCCUCGUUCUUCACGCUCUAUGCGGUACUUCCUUAGCGUGCCUUUACAUCACCCGGGACCGCAGUGCCCCCCGUCUCAGCCCUCCCGCCGCCGCCGAAGUCGACGUCAUAGAGAGCGGCAAUGCCUGGCGGCUGUGUGACGAGUGUGUCAAGCAGGUGCCUGCUUUUGCGUCGCAUUGUCGCACCUGCAACGCCUGCUUCCUGCACCGGGACCAUCAUUGUCUGUGGCUUGACUGCUGCAUCAGCUCAUCCAACGACCGUUGGUUCGUGUGUAGCGUGGCCGUGGGCGGUACGGCGCUCCUAUACGCUGCGCUGCUCGCCCUCUCCGUCGUGUGCCGGCCGUACGUGCUGCGUCACUCCUCCCUGCUGCCGCUGCCCCAUCUCUGCAUAUACGUCUACGCUACAUGGAACGUGUUUACUGCUGAUGUUGUUCACCGCGUCGUGGCUGCUGCUGGUGCAGCAGGUCGUGUGCAUCGCGCGCGGCGUCAGGUUACGCCAGUGGAAGAGAAGUCGUGACACUUCUCGCCUCACGCUGGCCAAAGUCAUGCAGAACUGCUUCAACUUUUGGUUCAGAUGGAGCAGUCCGCCCGUCACGCGCCGCUCUUGUUGAUACGAGAACGUCGCGUACGAGCUUCUCCCGCUUGUUACACAUCUAAAUGGGCCACCGUAAGCAUCUCACCCCAUCACCAAAUGCUCUCAACCAAAUAUUUGUAUUUUUUAACUUUAGCUUUUCUAACAAUCUUUAUUUCCUUAGUAAAAUCGAUAAACUACCAAUGAGGGUUUUAACCUCUCCAGUUCAGGAACCACCGACCUAAGACGUCGUCGUUUGGACGAAGAGAGGCGAGCCACGAGGAGCCGAAGAAGUUAGGGUGGUUAUAGCCUUAUUAUAAUUACGUAAGCGUGCAUUUGUUUAUUUUUAAAUAUGUCAUUUAUUUGCUCGAAUCACACAUUAAGCAAUAAUAUGAAUGCUAUGAAAGCGAUAAGAAAGCUCGCCAUAUUUUCUUGGCUAGGAUAUUCUAAGUUGAUUGAAAUUGUUGUGUACAUUGCUUGAAGAGGGCGGACUAUCUCCCUGCUUCAUGGGUGGAAAUGAGCAUUAUGGAUUUAUCUAUAAUGCAAUAAACUUCGCGUGAUACAAGUUAGAAUUUAACACCAAAUACUAAUGAAUCUUAUGUUUGCUCGUUAAUUGUUUAUUACAUGAUUCUCAUUCAAAUUGUGUUUCAUUUACUGCAUUUGUUUGAAUUCAUGAAAUGUUAGAAUUUGUUGGCAUUGAAUUGGCUUUUUCUCAUAUGCUUUAGAGGCUUAGAUGAUAAUGAGACAAUCUUCUAUUUUGUAAUUUUCA